rnacentral:rRNA from 1 species
AUGGACAUGCAAAUGUAUAGAGGUCACGCCGUCGUGGCUGCACUGGUUCUGCUUACCACCGUCACUGCAGCAAGCCCAACUGGCUACUGGGGUUACCUCUGUGAUGGUGGGAACUACAGUGCGCCCAGCAAGUACCAGCAGAACCUUGAACAGCUCUCCGCCACGCUGCCUGAAGCAGUCGCCUCCUCCCCCACUUUGUUCCACACGCAGGCAGUUGGCUCCAGCCACGAUAGAGCAUAUGCUCUGGCAAGAUGCCGCGGUGACACAGAGGCCGACGACUGCAGGAGAUGCCUUACACAGGCCUUCCAGGAUGCCCGGGCUGUUUGCACGUUCAGGAAGGGUAUUUCCAUCUACUACGACACGUGCAGCCUCUGGUUCGCUGAGAAGAAGAUCAAAAUUCAUCUUGGAGAUUCGCAGUCAGUCCUUAGGGCGGAUGGUCCCCCUAUACCUACCCAAUGCAAGGCCUUCCAGAACGAUGCCAGUACACUUAUCGCAGAUGUGGCGAGGAAGGCAUCAGAUUCUUCUCAAAGAUAUGCCACGGGAGAAAAGGGUCGUGAUGAGCGUGCCUGCAACUACACACUAUACACUCUUGCUGACUGUCUACCUGGAAUUUCAGCUGCUCAGUGUCAGGUCUGUUUGGAAGAUCUAACCUCUACACCAGGCCUGAGUGGUGGGCAAAUGGGUGAGCGAAAGGCUACCCUGUUGUGCAGUUACCGUUUGGAGCCUUAUCAGUUCUUCAGGGAUACAAAAGGACACAAGAACAAGACUGUUUGGAUCGUGGUGGGUGUAGCGGGAGGCGCAGUGCUACUGGCAAUCGCCUUGCUACUUUGGUGGUGGCUUCUGGCUAAACGUCCUUCUGCGAUAGAUUCCUUCAACAAAAUCACAGCCAACUGGCAGGGCAAGACGAUAGCCCUCUUCUUGGACUACGACGGAACCCUGGCGCCAAAAGUAGAUAAUCCUGACGAGGCAUACAUGUCCAGCGAGAUGCGCGAAGUUGUUCAAGAACUUGCCUCCUUGUGCGCCACUUCAGUCGUCAGUGGAAGGGCUCGCUAUAAGACGGAAAGUUUCGUAAUGAUCGAAAACCUGCACUAUGCAGGGAGCCACGGAGCAGAAAUCAAACUCAUUGACGAAACAGAAGCCUACGAACCUGCCCGCGAGUAUGUGCCUGUUAUAAAUCAGGCAAGAGAGCGUUUGGAGGAGGCUAUCAAAGAAAUAAAGGGUGCAAGCAUUGAACAUAAGAAAUUCGGGAUUUCCGUGCACUACCGGUGUGUUGAGGAGGAGGAACAGGAACUGGUUAAGAAGCUUGCCAAGCAAACCAUUAAAGGUUUCUCUGAGCUCACAGUAACUAAGGGUGACAAGGUUGUUGAAGUUCGUCCUAAGGCUGAAUUCAACAAGGGGUUUGCAGUCAAGUAUAUACUCGAGCAGCUAGCCCGCAAAAACAACUGGGACAGUUCUCAGGUGGUCGCUAUCUUUAUCGGUGACGAUAAGACAGAUGAAGAUGCAUUCAAGGUGCUUUGGAAACGAGUUGGCGGACUGGGGAUCCUUGUCAACAAGAAACGCAAGUGGACCAAAGCCUCGUAUUCCCUUGAAGACCCAGCUCAGGUGCAAAAAUUUCUUCAAAUGCUCCUGAGCUGGAAGAAGAAGGCAGAGGCUGAAGUUUGA